GUUUAACAACAACAUUUUCAGCAUUCCCACAAUUCAAUCAAAUUUUAUGGGUUUAACAACAAAUUUUUUAUCAUUCACACAAUUCAAUCAAAUUUCAUGGGUUUAACAUUAACAUUUUCAAUCAAUUUAAUGGUUUGCUCAUUCAAAUUUUCAUUAUUCACACAAUUCAAUCAAAUUUCAUGGGUUUCACAUCAACAUUUCAUCAUUUCCACAAUUCAAUCAAAUUUCAUAGGUUUAAAAACAA
rnacentral:lncRNA from 1 species